rnacentral:lncRNA from 1 species
GCUAUAUCCAGUGACUGAUCCACAUGGUGGUGUAAAAUCCUGCUCUCCUUGUCCGUAUCAACUCUAAGGGGUCAUCUAAACUUCAGAGCACCUUUCAGGUGAAUGAUGUGGAUAACAGGAUCUAAAAAGAUAUUCGCAAGAUUCACAAAUUGCAUGUGGACACCUUACGGAAUUGUGCUUUCUGCAGUAAAGACAGAAGAUAAUAAUGAAGACUGAUUAAAAGAAGCAGCUUCUGGUCUAGCGUAUUUUCUUCUGUGCAUCAGUUUUCCUGUAUUUGUUCAUUAUACAAAGAGAUUUAGUAUUUAUUUGCCAGCAAUAAAUGAGCUUCCUUAGUUUUGUGUCCAAU